AACUUAACUUGAGAACCAGAGAAGAGUUUGGUGUUGGAGUGUAUCUGAGCGUGAAUCUCCAAACCUACCACUCCAACCAGAUUCUCAGGAGCACUACAAAUAUAAACAGGAAAACAUUGGUUUGUGUAAACAGGGAAAAGGGAGGAAUCUGAAUGGAUCAGAUCCCCCACAGUCGACCUUUUGACGUAUGAUCAUGCAACCUUCCAAAAGAACAUCGUCCGUUUACAGAAUCAUGGCUAUAGCGGAAUCUAGGUGGGUGUGCCGGUGUGGGAAUGUGAGACUGUGGCACAUGCAGUCUCCGCGCAACAAGCACAUGCACGCGCGCAAGUGCUCACACACGCGUAUGCUAUGUUAUGCUAACGUUUUAGCAGUCAACAGCAUCCUACCUUUUUCUUUUGAGUUGUGUUUGACUUUGGUAUCGAAUGACAGAUGUGGCUAUUUGCCUGACAACACACCUCUGACUACGAUAAACGAUCAUUUUUGUAAAAACCUUUGCUAGUUGUUUUGAUAUAAUAUAUAGUGGGGCACUCGAUCCUGCAGAGGACGCAGCCAUGUUGCUCAGUAACAAAGUGGACUGAGUCGACUGUAGUCAUUACAAAUCAUUCAAGGUGGAAGAGAUGUUAAUAAGGACUCCACAAACCACAAUUCAAAGCGUCUCCUACUUUAAAUUUCCGGAGACGUUUAUCUACGACAUUUCCGACUGAAAUGGCCUUGCUGACAUGGAUAUGGAUUUUAUCGUAAAACAAACAGACAGGCUGUAAAGGAUGGAGGAUAAAAUAUUGUUUAGAUUGAGCGUAUAUGUAUACAUUUUUAAAGGUAUUUAGAUUUACUUUAAGGCCUAUGACUGAUUCACACUCCGGAGCAUAAGGUGGCGGUAAUGCACCAACAAGCUUGAUGCCAACCACAGUAAUACAAGAAAAAGACUAAACAUCCUUGCUUGUGGCGGGAGUUUCUCACAUGGUAGGCAGGUCUGUAGGGGGUUACAUUUGGAAUUCAGUCUACAGUCCUUGGUUUCCCAGUCUCAGUCAUUUCUGUACUGCAGGGCCUGUGGAGUGGCAGAUUUCUACCAAACUUGCAUCGACUGAAACAUUGACACAACCAGAGAGUCUGAUGAUGACAAACUGAGGACGAGGGGAGGAAAGGAAGGAGUUUGCAAUGAGAGCAGAAAGGAAUAAGAUGGUGUAGGGAAGCAGUGAGGGAGAGAGAGAGAUGGUGUUGAUGUGCUCUCCGGCUGUCACACACUCCGGCGGGCUGCUCUGUCACAGGCGGAAGCUGUG